AUUAAUAUAAUAUAAACAGUAUAUUUGACUUCCAAUCAAAAAGUCUAUAAAAUUAUAGUAUUAAUA
rnacentral:tRNA from 1 species